GACGAACGCUGGCGGCGUGCUUAACACAUGCAAGUCGAACGGAAAGGCCCUGCUUUUGUGGGGUGCUCGAGUGGCGAACGGGUGAGUAACACGUGAGUAACCUGCCCUUGACUUUGGGAUAACUUCAGGAAACUGGGGCUAAUACCGGAUAGGAGCUCCUGCUGCAUGGUGGGGGUUGGAAAGUUUCGGCGGUCGGGGAUGGACUCGCGGCUUAUCAGCUUGUUGGUGGGGUAGUGGCUUACCAAGGCUUUGACGGGUAGCCGGCCUGAGAGGGUGACCGGCCACAUUGGGACUGAGAUACGGCCCAGACUCCUACGGGAGGCAGCAGUGGGGAAUAUUGCACAAUGGGCGGAAGCCUGAUGCAACAACGCCGCGUGCGGGAUGACGGCCUUCGGGUUGUAAACCGCUUUCGCCUGUGACGAAGCGUGAGUGACGGUAAUGGGUAAAGAAGCACCGGCUAACUACGUG
rnacentral:rRNA from 1 species